rnacentral:rRNA from 1 species
CGCGCAGGCGGUCGUUCAAGUCGGGCAUGAAAGCUCCCUGGCUAAACCGGGAGAGGAUGUCCGGGACUGGAGGACUAGAGUCCGAUAGAGGGGUGUAGAAUUCCGCGUGUAGUGGUGAAAUGCGUAGAGAUGCGGAGGAAUACCAGUGGCGAAGGCGGCACCCUGGAUCGGAACUGACGCUGAGGCGCGAAAGCAUGGGUAGCGAACG